ensembl:misc_RNA
UUGACUGUUCAGGAUUCUCCAUUCACAGACCACAAGCACCACAAAUAUCAGCAGUACAAGCUUCCCUAGGUGGCCCUGCCAAUAGGCCUUCAACUCUGACCUGAAGAGAAAACUUCUAUAGAUAUGAGGGUAGUUCAUUUUCUGUGCUCAUUCAUUCUUGUUCUGUC